GAUGAACGCUGGCGGCGUGCCUAAUACAUGCAAGUCGAGCGAACAGAUGAGGAGCUUGCUCCUCUGACGUUAGCGGCGGACGGGUGAGUAACACGUGGAUAACCUACCUAUAAGACUGGGAUAACUUCGGGAAACCGGAGCUAAUACCGGAUAAUAUAUUGAACCGCAUGGUUCAAUAGUGAAAGACGGUUUUGCUGUUACUUAUAGAUGGAUCCGCGCCGCAUUAGCUAGUUGGUAAGGUAACGGCUUACCAAGGCAACGAUGCGUAGCCGACCUGAGAGGGUGAUCGGCCACACUGGAACUGAGACACGGUCCAGACUCCUACGGGAGGCAGCAGUAGGGAAUCUUCCGCAAUGGGCGAAAGCCUGACGGAGCAACGCCGCGUGAGUGAUGAAGGUCUUCGGAUCGUAAAACUCUGUUAUUAGGGAAGAACAAAUGUGUAAGUAACUAUGCACGUCUUGACGGUACCUAAUCAGAAAGCCACGGCUAACUACGUG
rnacentral:rRNA from 1 species